UAAUCUCAAUCCCCUCAGGCAUUUUUUGUACAAAUAAAUGAAAAGCCUGUUCAAGGGUAUUGGAUUUUGGGGGCUUUGUGCAGGUUCACUCUUGUAGGGAAUCAGCUCCUCUUAAAGAUAUUAGCUGGAGAGAUAAAGCAUAAUAGCUCUUAGCAUUGUUCAUUGGCUAUGGUGUAAUAAUUAUUUCAUCAUGGAUGAUUCAGUGCAAAUAUGGGGCUAUAUUAUAGCCCCAAGAAGAGACUCUUGUAGCGUUCUCUGCUUCUAAUUUGUCAGAUCUAUCUGACAAAUCAUGUACUCU
rnacentral:misc_RNA from 1 species